rnacentral:lncRNA from 1 species
GAUCUCGGCUCACUGCAGCCACAACUUCAUGGGCUCAGCUUGCUUCAGGGCGUUGUGACAGUUGUGUUGGAAGAAAAUUGGAAUUUCAGCCUUGCAGUGAGGGGAUCCGUGCUGCCACCAGAGCAGCUGAGUGCCAAUCUGCGGGAGGCGGGAGUGGAGCGAAACUGCAAACUGAGAAACAAACUUUCACAUCAGGUUUCUAAUUUUAGAGCAAAAAGUGGAAUUACUUUAAUUAUAUGACAUUUAACUAGAAAUACGAUUUGCUGGGAUUAAUUAUCUCUCUCAUUUAAAAUACCUUCUUAGUAGGUUUAAAUUAACAUAAAAAAUCAAAUUCAGCAUUUAAAUAAGGUCAAUGGGACUGCUGGAUUUAAACACAGAAUUUGAUUCAGUAUAAUUGGAUCACCGUAUUGGUUUUGACUUGGAAGGAUUAAAUGGAGGAAAUUGGAAAAGCGUGAAUUUGGGCAGAAAGAGAAAUUUUCUCUUCUUUUUCUUUCUUUCUUCUUUCACCUUCCAAGGGAGAGAAGUUUCCCCACCUUGGAGAGGAAACUACUACCCUGAUUAGGUCAGAAACAUCUCAGAUUCAUUAAUUGUCUCCGUUUUAUCACUACUUGAAUAAGAAAUAGUAAUAAAACAAAAAUAUUGUGUAACUAAAGCUUACUAGAAGAAUUUAAAAUACAUAUAACAAGGGUCUGUUUGAAAAAUGAUUAUUCUGUGUUAAGUGAUUACCUCUUAUUUUAUUUAAAAGCAUAUGAAAGUUAUUUCUGAUGUUUUAUUUUGCUUAAAAAAUGAACUUUAUGCUUUUGAAGGAAUUUUAAAAAUAAGAGUUUCAUUUCAAUCAAGUAAGUCGCUGUUGGGACACUGAACAGUGUACGUGUCAUGUUCUUUAUUGAACUCUUGUCCUUAGGGCUUAUGUCUAAGCUUACUUUAUCUUUAAUAAUUUGUCUUAGGCAAUGAGUUCAUUUAUAGCAAGAAUGAUCAACUUUGGAAAUUCUACUAACAGGGGGAAGUUAUUAGACAUGCAAUGGAAGAGGAUGUCUUGGAAUUUGCUGGGUGAGGGAUUCAGGAAAAGUCCCAGGGCUACAGGGAUGGAAUGACCCAUGUCAUGGGGAAAGCCCCAAGUCCACAUGCAGGAACUUCCUUUGAAAGUGACUUGCUCCCUCAGGCUGAUGAAUUGCAUGUGAAUAACUGAAUGUGACUGGGCAUAUCAAAGCUAUGGGACAGCAAAGCGUAAUGGUGAAGCACUACAGGCCUGGUAAGGAUUUUGAAUAGUCAUGCUGAUGUAACCCCCAGUGUUAUAUACUCUUCAGCAAAACCUGAGUGUGAUCCAACUAUUUGUUGGAACGAUGGUAAAGAUAUUACCAUUCCUUGAGUCAAAAUAGGAUAAGUACAUUAGAUUUUAGGACAUAAGGCUAUUUGUAACAUGACUUAUUGGGGGGUAAAUGAGAGAAAAAUGUUUGGAAGUUUUCUGUUAAAGAGUGGCAACAUUAAGAUUGACAAAAAUUCCAAUUAUACUCUGUGCAAUGUUAAAACUGAUAUAAUUCUUAAAGAUAUUUAGGGUAAGUGAUUGGGACAUGAGAUGAUGAGAGAGAGAUGUAUUGACUGUUAGGAAAUUUAAUUUUUAUGAAAUCAGCAUUAUGGGGAAAUACUGUAAUCUGAUUCAUUCCUGCAGAAUUCCCAGGAGGAAGAGGCCCAGCCUCGGGAGUUGAAAUGUUUCAUUAUGUACAUGUGUGGGAAAAAGAUGAAAUGUGGUUUCCGUGUGCUGAUUUUCUGUAAAACAUCUAUUAGUAUGAGAGUAGCCAGGCUAGGCAACAAAGCCCCCAAACCAUCGUAGUCUAGGGAAAAGUGAACCCAGAAGGCAUUUCUCUGAUGGAUGCUGACAUCAGGAGCAAUAAGUUUGAAAGUAGCAAGAAAAAGUAAUGACAGUAAAAUAAUGUUGAAAUAGUAGCUAAGGAAUGAUCACAUGCUGAAGAUGAGGUCAGUCCUUUAUUCCUCAUCAAUCCCUGCUUAACUUUGCUUUUAGAAAUGUAAGGUUCCCCAAAAAUGAGGAAACUGCAAAUGUAAGCUUUUUAUACCAAUGCUAAUUUAACCAAGUUGUCCAUCUUAUAGUGUAAACUAUAAUUAGAGCCACGCUAUUUAUGUAAUGUGAGCCGCACCAUCCCUGAGACAGGGAAAGGCGGGACAUUUGCCCCUGAGCUCUAGAGUAACAGGGCUCUAGAGUGUCAAUGGCCAUCUCAGCCUCUUGUAUAGCUGGGGAUGGAAGAAAGAGGUGCCUCCAACAGGUUUCACAAAGAGAAAGGCACGAGGUUUAUAAGUCUGUGUGAGGGAACUCUUUUGUCUUGUUUGGCUCCAAACCCUGCCAAACUCACAUCAUCACAAAACACGUGAGUCCCUUUGCUUUUCCCAGUUCCAAGGCUGUUUGUUAGUUUUUAGUGACCUCUUUCCCUAAUUAAGACUGGUUUUGAGAUUCAUUUUAAUCUGAUAUUAACCUAAUUCAAUAAUGACAGGAGUUUGUUUCGGAGAGAGGGAGUGGUGGGUACAGAGGUGUGAUUUACUCCUGUCUCUGAGACUCUUAGGCCUGUCAUUGAAUUCAAGCCCCCAUGGAGAUGGCCUUGGAAAUGAAUGAAGGUCUAAGGCCUGUUGCUGCUGAUGACGCUUAGCUCUUAACCGUGCUUUUCUUUCUCUGUUGGUAUUUUGGAAAGUUCGAGCUCUUUUAGGAAAAAAAAAAUCCUUCGGAUAGUUUAGAGUAGAUAAAGUUACCUGAUUAUAGCCUAAAUACUUUUGUUAUGGAAAAAAAUAUUAUCAGCAAAAUAAAAUCAGAUACUAAGUGACUAAAAAAUGGGAGGGUUACCAAAAAAAAAAAAAAUCAGGUACUAAGUGACUAAAAAAUGAGAGGGUUACAAAAUAUAAUCUCUCUUUCAAAGCAUGAUUGUUCAUUCUUGCCUUACUACUUUUAAGAUGAUCUGCUGCUCAUAAACCAGAUAUAGAAUUUUGAAAUGUUUAUAUUGGGGAGAUGGCAUGAUGGUGUUGGGCAUGACUUCAAGGAAGUACUUAUUCUUUUGGAAUUCAGAUGGAAAGUCUAAAGGUUUAGAGAACAUACUGUUUUUGAGCAAAGAGAAGGGUAUUGGCAGAAGAAAUUUUAUUUGAAAGAAAAGAAAAUUUGUAGCCUUUUUGUAUACUAAAAGAAGCUAUGUGUCAAUGAUGGCAAUUUUAAUUAAAUCCUUAGUAUUUAUAUUGUUCUAGUAUCAGAUGCUCCCCAUAAAGCACAGAGAAAUGAAUUUUUCCACAAAUUGAGUUUAGCAAGAAAGACUGUGAUCUUCUUUAAUAAGAGCGCAAAAUGUGAAUUUAUUUUAAGGAAUUAAAAAUAAAGAGUUUGGCUGGGUGUGGUGGCUCAUUCCUGUAAUCCCAGCACUUUGGGAGGCCAAGGUAGGAGGAUCACUUGAACCCAGGAGUUUGAGACCAGCUUGGUCAAUGUAGUGAGACUAUCUCUAUUA